rnacentral:rRNA from 1 species
UACGGGGGGGGCAAGCGUUGUUCGGAAUUACUGGGCGUAAAGAGCGCGCAGGCGGUCGUUCAAGUCGAGUGUGAAAGCCCCCGGCUCAACUGGGGAGGGUCACUCGAUACUGAUCGACUCGAAGGCAGGAGAGGGUAGUGGAAUUCCCGGUGUAGUGGUGAAAUGCGUAGAUAUCGGGAGGAACACCAGUGGCGAAAGCGGCUACCUGGCCCAUUCUUGACGCUGAGGCGCGAAAGCUAGGGGAGCAACGGG